GACGAACGCUGGCGGCGUGCCUAAUACAUGCAAGUCGAGCGGACUGAUUAAGAGCUUGCUCUUAUGACGUUAGCGGCGGACGGGUGAGUAACACGUGUACAACCUGCCCUGUAGAUCGGGAUAACACCGAGAAAUCGGUGCUAAUACGGUGUAAUCUCUUACAUCACAUGAUCUUAGGUUAAAAGAUGGCUCCGGCUAUCACUACAGGAUGGUCCCGCGGCGCAUUAGCUAGGUGGUAAGGUAAUGGCUUACCAAGGCGACGAUGCUGAGCCGACCUGGGGUGGUGAGCGGCCACACUGGGACUGAGACACGGCCAAGACGCCUACGGGAGGCAGCAGUAGGUAAUCUGCCGCAAAGGACGAAAGUCUGACGCAGCAACGCCGCGUGAGUGAUGAAGGGGUGCGGCGCGUAAAGCGCUGUUGUUAGGGAAGAAACAGUAUCGAACGAACUAGGUCGGUACAGUGACGGUACCUAAUAAGAAAGCAACGGCUAACUACGUG
rnacentral:rRNA from 1 species